rnacentral:tRNA from 1 species
UGUUGAGUGGUGCAAUGGUUAGCAUAUCAGCCUUUGACCCUGAUGAUAUUGGUUCGAAUCCAAUCUCGACAACAA